rnacentral:rRNA from 1 species
CCUACGGGUGGCAGCAGUGAGGAAUAUUGGUCAAUGGGCGCGAGCCUGAACCAGCCAAGUAGCGUGAAGGAUGACGGCCCUACGGGUUGUAAACUUCUGUUAUAAAGGAAUAAAGUGAGGCACGUGUGCCUUUUUGUAUGUACUUUAUGAAUAAGGAUCGGCUAACUCCGUGCCAGCAGCCGCGGUAAUACGGAGGAGCCGAGCGUUAUCCGGAUUUAUUGGGUUUAAAGGGAGCGUAGAUGGGUUGUUAAGUCAGUUGGGAAAGUUUGCGGCUCAACCGGAAAAUUUCAAUUGAUACUGGCAGCCUUGCGUACAGUUGCGGUAGGCGUACUUCGUGGUGUCGCGGUGUACUGCUUCGCUAUCAC